rnacentral:rRNA from 1 species
UACGUAGGGGGCAAGCGUUGUCCGGAUUUAUUGGGCGUAAAGAGCGCGCAGGCGGCUUGGCAAGUCGGGUGUGAAAUCCCGGGGCUCAACCCCGGGACUGCAUUCGAUACUGUCAGGCUAGAGGUAGGUAGGGGAGAUCGGAAUUCCUGGUGUAGCGGUGAAAUGCGCAGAUAGUCAGGAGGAACACCGGUGGCGAAGGCGGGUCUCUGGGCCGUACCUGACGCUGAGGCGCGAAGGCUAGGGGAGCGAACGGG